rnacentral:rRNA from 1 species
AUUGAACGCUGGCGGCAGGCCUAACACAUGCAAGUCGAACGGUAACAGGAAACAGCUUGCUGUUUCGCUGACGAGUGGCGGACGGGUGAGUAAUGUCUGGGAAACUGCCUGAUGGAGGGGGAUAACUACUGGAAACGGUAGCUAAUACCGCAUAACGUCGCAAGACCAAAGAGGGGGACCCUCGGGCCUCUUGCCAUCGGAUGUGCCCAGAUGGGAUUAGCUUGUUGGUGGGGUAACGGCUCACCAAGGCGACGAUCCCUAGCUGGUCUGAGAGGAUGACCAGCCACACUGGAACUGAGACACAGUCCAGACUCCUACGGGAGGCAGCAGUGGGGAAUAUUGCACAAUGGGCGCAAGCCUGAUGCAGCCAUGCCGCGUGUAUGAAGAAGGCCUUCGGGUUGUAAAGUACUUUCAGCGGGGAGGAAGGGAGUAAAGUUAAUACCUUUGCUCAUUGACGUUACCCGCAGAAGAAGCACCGGCUAACUCCGUG